GGGCUUGACAUCCCACGAACCUGCCUGAAAGGGCGGGGUGCCCGCAAGGGAGCGUGGAGACAGGUGGUGCAUGGCUGUCGUCAGCUCGUGUCGUGAGAUGUUGGGUUAAGUCCCGCAACGAGCGCAACCCUCACCCCUAGUUGCCGCCGGGUAAUGCCGAGCACUCGAGGGGAACUGCCAGCGUCAAGCUGGAGGAAGGCGGGGAUGACGUCAAGUCAUCAUGCCCCUUACGUCCUGGGCUACACACGUGCUACAAUGGCCAGUACAAAGGGAUGCAAGACCGCGAGGUGGAGCUAAUCCCAAAAAGCUGGUCUAAGUUCAGAUUGCAGUCUGCAACUCGACUGCAUGAAGGAGGAAUCGCUAGUAAUCGCGCAUCAGCCCGGCGCGGUGAAUACGUUCCCGGGCCUUGUACACACCGCCCGUCACACCACGAAAGCUUACUGUACUCGAAGUCGCUGAG
rnacentral:rRNA from 1 species